rnacentral:rRNA from 1 species
GAUGAACGCUGGCGGCGUGCCUAAUACAUGCAAGUCGAGCGAACGGACGAGAAGCUUGCUUUUCUGAUGUUAGCGGCGGACGGGUGAGUAACACGUGGAUAACCUACCUAUAAGACUGGGAUAACUUCGGGAAACCGGAGCUAAUACCGGAUAAUAUUUUGAACCGCAUGGUUCAAAAGUGAAAGACGGUCUUGCUGUCACUUAUAGAUGGAACCGCGCUGCAUUAGCUAGUUGGUAAGGUAACGGCUUACCAAGGCAACGAUGCAUAGCCGACCUGAGAGGGUGAUCGGCCACACUGGAACUGAGACACGGUCCAGACUCCUACGGGAGGCAGCAGUAGGGAAUCUUCCACAAUGGGCGAAAGCCUGACGGAGCAACGCCGCGUGAGUGAUGAAGGUCUUCGGAUCGUAAAACUCUGUUAUUAGGGAAGAACAUAUGUGUAAGUAACUGUGCACAUCUUGACGGUACCUAAUCAGAAAGCCACGGCUAACUACGUG